rnacentral:other from 1 species
ACGCCCCCGUGGUGUGCGAGAGUGCGCCUGCAACCUCUCGAGCCUGAUUCCAUGCUGCCGGGAGCCGAACGCCGCGCUGUUGCGCAGGUCCGCCCGAAGAGCGGAAAGCCUGAAGCGCGUCGCCAGGCGCCCCCCUGAACCCGAGUGGUUCAGAGGUCAUCGCGCACUACGGCGCCAACGGGGUGCGU